GGGAUAAUAGUAUAGUGGUCAGUACUUCUCGUUGUGGCCGAUUCACAGCGAUCCGAGAGGACCCAGGUUCGAUUCCUGGUUAUCCCA